rnacentral:other from 1 species
CUUUCAAUUCUUUUAGUGUUGUUAC